GCCAGGCAUAGUGGCUUGUACCUGUAGUCCCAGCUACUUGGGAGGCUGAGGCAGGAGGAUUGCUUGAGCCCAAGAGGUCAAGGCUGCAGUGAGCCAUAAUUUCAUCACUGCACUCCAGCCUGGGCAACAGAGUAAGACCCUGUCUCAA
ensembl:misc_RNA Metazoa_SRP Metazoan signal recognition particle RNA